rnacentral:rRNA from 1 species
GACGAACGCUGGCGGCGUGCUUAACACAUGCAAGUCGAACGGAAAGGCCCUGCUUUUGUGGGGUGCUCGAGUGGCGAACGGGUGAGUAACACGUGAGUAACCUGCCCUUGACUUUGGGAUUACUUCAGGAAACUGGGGCUAAUACCGGAUAGGAGCUCCUGCUGCAUGGUGGGGGUGGGAAAGUUUCGGCGGUUGGGGAUGGACUCGCGGCUUAUCAGCUUGUUGGUGGGGUAGUGGCUUACCCAGGCUUUGACGGGUAGCCGGCCUGAGAGGGUGACCGGCCACAUUGGGACUGAGAUACGGCCCAGACUCCUACGGGAGGCAGCAGCGGGGAAUAUUGCACAAUGGGCGGAAGCCUGAUGCAGCAACGCCGCGUGCGGGAUGACGGCCUUCGGGUUGUAAACCGCUUUAGCCUGUGACGCAGCGUGAGUGACGGUAAUGGGUAAAGAAGCACCGGCUAACUACGUG